rnacentral:rRNA from 1 species
AUGGAGAAGUUCUUCUCUCGAAGCUCAGUAGGGACACCACAGAACUUGGCUGUAGUGUGCCCCACGACACCACAGCACAGACAAAAAUUAGGCAAUUUUUCAUACUUAACAGGAAAGUAUAUCUUGUUAGUGCCUCCAACGUCGGUUGUGUCGAUGAACUUCCUCACGGGCUCGUCCACCCGAUGCUCGACGCGGACGCGAAUGUACUCGUCGACGAUCUUCUUGUUCUUGUGUGACACCGUAAUGACGAUGCCGAGCUUCUCGCCAAGGGUCCAUCCCAUUUCCACGGUCUUGAUCGGAACCGGCAACCCAUGGAUUUGCACUCAAAUUCUGAAAGAAUCAAGGGGAACAUCCACAGGGUCACCGCUGCCAUCAAACGCCGCGAGCAGGACUGCGUCAUUCCUGUAG